rnacentral:lncRNA from 1 species
UUUUCACAAAAGAAAAAAAAUGGUACAAUGAUGUCAGCCAAAUAUCAACAUCAACGUACGGAUGUGCAGAUCCAGCUAUCAUAGUCAUUGAUUGAUCUAACGGAGUUAUUAUGUUAAUGUACUCUUCGGAGUUAGUAUAUUUCUUCUUAAUAUCUUCGAGUGAUAGAGAGUAUAUUACUCUACUGUCAUAGAUUGCUCUAGUGAAAGUAUGUGGUGAGUUUUGUGAACUUUCAUCAGAAU